UCUAUGUGGCUGGUGGUGUUCUUAUCUCUGGAUCAAACGACGGCACAAUUAGAGUAUGAGAGAAUGUGAGAGGAGAAUAUCUCAUUUAACUAAUUAAUUAACUUAAUAGGUUUGGAACCUCACCAAAAUGACGUGUAUAUUCAGUGUGGAAGCGCAUGAUGGGUGGGUGAAGACACUAGUAGUCCACGGCCACUGUCUCUAUAGUGGCGCUUUCGAUUACAAGGUCAAGGUAUUUCAUUGACAAAUAAAUAAACUAUAUGUUAUUAUACUUACAUGUUACUGUUACUAGGAGUGGGAUUUGAGAAAUUUCAUGACCACAAGAACUUUCAGUGAACACGGGGAUAACGUUACGUGCCUGGUUGCCACUCAAAAG
rnacentral:rRNA from 1 species